rnacentral:rRNA from 1 species
GGAUAUUACCGAGUUUACAACUCCCAAACCCAAUGUGAACGUUACCAAACUGUUGCCUCGGCGGGAUCUCUGCCCCGGGUGCGUCGCAGCCCCGGACCAAGGCGCCCGCCGGAGGACCAACCAAAACUCUUAUUGUAUACCCCCUCGCGGGUUUUUUUAUAAUCUGAGCCUUCUCGGCGCCUCUCGUAGGCGUUUCGAAAAUGAAUCAAAACUUUCAACAACGGAUCUCUUGGUUCUGGCAUCGAUGAAGAACGCAGCGAAAUGCGAUAAGUAAUGUGAAUUGCAGAAUUCAGUGAAUCAUCGAAUCUUUGAACGCACAUUGCGCCCGCCAGUAUUCUGGCGGGCAUGCCUGUCCGAGCGUCAUUCCAACCCUCGAACCCCUCCGGGGGGUCGGCGUUGGGGAUCGGCCCUCCCUUAGCGGGUGGCCGUCUCCGAAAUACAGUGGCGGUCUCGCCGCAGCCUCUCCUGCGCAGUAGUUUGCACACUCGCAUCGGGAGCGCGGCGCGUCCACAGCCGUUAAACACCCAACUUCUGAAAUGUUGACCUCGGAUCAGGUAGGAAUACCCGCUGAACUUAAGCAUAUCAAUAA